rnacentral:rRNA from 1 species
UGGGGAAUCUUAGACAAUGGGGGAAACCCUGAUCUAGCCAUGCCGCGUGAGUGAUGAAGGCCUUAGGGUCGUAAAGCUCUUUCGCCAGGGAUGAUAAUGACAGUACCUGGUAAAGAAACCCCGGCUAACUCCGUGCCAGCAGCCGCGGUAAUACGGAGGGGGUUAGCGUUGUUCGGAAUUACUGGGCGUAAAGCGCGCGUAGGCGGAUUGGUCAGUUGGGGGUGAAAUCCCGGGGCUCAACCUCGGAACUGCCUUCAAUACUGCCAGUCUCGAGUCCGGAAGAGGUGAGUGGAAUUCCUAGUGUAGAGGUGAAAUUCGUAGAUAUUAGGAAGAACACCAGUGGCGAAGGCGGCUCACUGGUCCGGUACUGACGCUGAGGUGCGAAAGCGUGGGGAGCAAACAGGAUUAGAUACCCCUGUAGUCC